CUGGCUAGAAUGGUUAACAGCAAGUCAGUUCACUUAACAUGCAGAUUCAAACCAGCAAGUCAAUUCACUUAACAUUCAGAUUAAAAUGGGCACUGAUUCCCACAUUCAGUCUUCUUCUGAUGUACUGAAUCCUUAUUAAAAAAACUCUUGAUAUUCUUGCAAAACAUUAAGGGACAGGAACCCCAAGACUCUCUGUGGAGGGAGAAGAGAAACAAGGCAGGAAGCUAGAGAAGGCUCUAAGGGAAAGUAAGUCCUUUUGUACGGUGGAAAUUCAAGCAGCCAUCAGGAUGCAUUGCAGAGGUUUUCUCUAAAUAUAACAAAGCAAGCAGAAUUGAGGUCAUAUAGAAGUUGAAAAUGAGUCACAAGAAAACAAUGUGACAAGGGAAUGUUUGCGUUUACUUUAUUCCAAGGUAGAGAGACCAGAUUUUGUUCUGCUUUCUUCUCUUCUAAAGAGUAACACCACAUGGUGCAAUCCUUUCUGCAAGAAAUAUGUCACGGGUUAGAAGGGACAAGAAAGAACAAAGAAUCUUCCAUUAGAUGGCUUUAUCAUAGCUUGGCCUUUUGUGGAUAAACAAGACUGUCUUCAGUUCUAUAGCUAAUCUGAUCCAAGAGUAAUUUUAAACAAAUAUUAAGAACAGAAAACUGCAGACAUCAAGAAUGCAUUUUGCACCCUGGAUUAAUAUGAACCAGUUACCAUGCAAGGGCCACACAAGCACAGACAUUAUUAAAAUGGGAAUUUCAAGGGUUCUGGAAGACUUCUAGGCAAAUGCAAGAACAGAAAACAAAAUUCCUAAAAUGGAUGCCAGAGAUGUAGACACGUCAAAUGACUUGCUGAAGAUGAAGUCUAAACCAGUUCUAGAAAUCAAAAAGUACAGUACCCACCCAAAGAUGGAUAUUGCUUCAGAUGUCACCACACCUAAGGUACUUCUAACCCAGCAAAAGUUGAAAGAGUUCAAGACUCUACCUAAUAAUGGAACACCAAGUGAAAUCCCAGGAAGUUGGUAUAUUUGAACAAGGACAAGCAAGUUGAUGAACAGAUGCUUUCAUUUCCUAUUCAGAAUAAGUUUAUGUUAAAUUUUAAUCUCAUUUUGUUUAUUUAAUAUUUUCUUUCACAUUUAAAGUUGUGAAAAAAAAAGAUUUUUAUUAGAGGCAUGAACUAAGUCAACAAAUGAUUACAGAAAUUAUGUUAAUUUAUUUAAGAGAAGAUUCUCUUGGAGCCUUUGGAGCAGAAUUCCCCAACCUUUUGGGGUUGGCGGACUGAAGGGGGGGAGGGGAGAAAGGAUGGUUUUGUGGG